AUUUUCCUUUGAAUGCUUGCAGCAUCUGUGUAACAUUGGGAGUGAGCAGGCUCCAGGACCUUCCUUUUUUGCUGUUUUUGGCUGUGCACACUGUUGUUUUACAAAAGACAAUGUCUCUUUUAGGCUAAGGCAUGCAAUUCUUGCAACUUUCCCUCUGUCAGGAGAAACCUCAUCUUGGAGCUGUAGUCCAUGAGACAGCAGGAAGGGAGCAAUUGAUCGACAGUCAAGGAAAGCGCAGAGGAAGGGAGGAGGGGAUCAGGGACUCCUCGACUUCCCCACUGGCACUGUCUGGCUAUGGGAUGUGAUGACUACCUAGCCAUUUUGCUUUGCUGAGUGUGCUGCCAGCACAGCUAAUUACUGCUGCCUUCACCAAUGGGCUUUACCCUGAAUUAAGGCCGGAGCAGUUGUUUUGGUUACUAAUGGGGCAGAAACGAACGGAGAAAGUCCAGUGGCAUCUGUAAUACUGCCUCCCUGACAGAAAGCCAUCUGGAAAACCUCAGCCAGCCUUGUCUGGGCAGGAGACUCCUGCAGUGGAAAUGCAGGCGGCAGUUAGCUGGAGCUACCUGUACCGUGGUGCGUGCCGGCACAUGCUGUGCAAACUGCCUGGAUUUGCUCACCGCUCAGGGCAAAGGGCUGCUGGGGAGCAGCCUAGUUCCCAGCAGGCCCACGAGGAGGAAGACAAAGGGAUGCUCUGCUGAAAGCACGUCCUGGGCCAUAUCCUUAGCACUGCCGUGGCACCGGGAAAGGAAUGCCAGGAGCAGUUCUGUACCUCUCUCUUUCCCCAAAGCUGCCAGAGCCAAGAAUGAGAAAUGAGCUGCUCAUUUCCAACUCUGCAAAGAUUUUUGCUUUGAAAGUGUCUCAGAGCUGGGACCCAUUCAGAAGAGAAGACACUGCCGUGGUAAAAGGGAAGGUGAUACAUGCUGCAGGUUGUAGCUGUGGCCAGAAAGCUUGACUGUGUCUGCGCUGGUUUGCUGCACUAAAGCCAACUUCUUCCCUGACAAUUGGUGCGCUGAGAAAUGUGUCAGGAGCCCAAAGGGCGAGGGAAGAACAUGGGUGGUCCUGAAAGUGCUUUGACUUGGAGAGCAAUGGAGCAGCACCACCUGUACUUAAUAAACCACCAUCCAAAUCUGGGUUUAGAUCAAGUGGAAACAGGAAGUCCUGGCUGCUCUUCAGUGGUCAGUGGCCCUGUGCUGCUCUGUUCCCCCAGGCCAUAGCUACCGCUGUAGCAGCAGCCGUGCAGUGCAGCUUCCUUCUCCUCUUUUUCCCUACUGCUCCCUGCAGAGAAGAUCAAUUAGGGCACAGACUUGUGUGUCUCUGUGUCAAAAAAGAAAAGGAGCUUCAACAGGAGGAGAAAUCCUGGUAUCUCCCACUUAGGGUACUAUACAAGUUGCACUCUAGCUGUGCCAAGCACAGGGAUGCUGCUGAGUUCAGGAACUGGAAUCAAGUGUGAAGAUGUUGGGGAAUAAAGGCUUUUCUGAAGCAUCUAACAUAAUCCUCAAACUGGGAUGGACUGCUGCUGAUUAGACUUUAAAUUUAUUUAUUUUUUUAUUUAUUUUAAAGGAAAAUGUUGGAGAUUUUUGUGAGCUCCAGAGGCUGGCAGAAGGACUUCAGGUUAGGCUGAAAUCAGCCUUCAUCAUCACCACAUGCAGACUUCUGGACUUCAAUUUUGCAAAUGUCUAAACUCCACCGCACAUGUCCCUUUGGAUAUAGCUUCUGUAAUAAGUGUUCCCAGUGUCUACUAUAACUGUGGGCUGUUUAACCUCCUAUGAUGCCCCUACCUAAGCAUCUUUGCAAAGAGCAAGACGAUACUUGGACAAAACCAGCCUCACCAAGGGUUUUAAAACACGUGGCAGAAAUCGGUAAUGGCAGCACAGGACUUGGCAUGUUUUGCCUGUCAGUGGUCUAAGAAAAGCAAUUAUAUUUAGAUAGAUAAAAAGGAAAUGUAUUGGACCUGGUCCCUAUUGAGGCAGAGUCAGGGUGUGACCUCCUAUGAAAACUGGAUCUGCCAGCAUUUAUUUCCUCUGAUCUGAUCAGGUGACGAAGACUGGGGGGGACUCGUCAGGCAAAUUUGUCUCUCGUGCGUGUUGUGAGUCUGCAGCCUGUGGGCCCUUAUUCCUGCUGUGGUCAAGGGUAACUCUCUGCCCAUGGGGCAGAACUUGCCCCAGGGAGCCGUGCCUGCAAACAGGCCCUUCUCUGCUCUUCCAGGGAAGAGUGUAGAGCAACUUUUCCCUUGCCAUUGCCACAGCUGCAGUACCUAUCUUCUGCAUGUUUCUACUUGAGCCUCACGGAGCAAGAUGUAUCUGUGAAGAUUCUUGGUUGCUCUUUGUUAGCUUUCAAAUGGUCUUCGCUCUACAUAACUGCAGAGAAAAGCCUGAAGCCUCCCCCAUGGCAUUUUGAAAGCACAAGGAAGAUAAGGUGGUGGCAGCAGUGAUUUUAAACCCUGGUUUUGCUCAAAUGCCUGCCAUGUGGUUCCCUACAAAGCUCAGGACAUUCCUGGUGCAGGAGCAAGUUCUUCCCAGCAACAGCCAUGCUGCAACAUGCUGCCAGCAGUCCCUGAUGCUCAGCCGCCGAGCAACUGCAAGAGCCCAACAUGUUGGGAUCUGCCUGCUGCUGCCUCGCCUCUUGAAAGAGCUUCCUGUGCUGUUACGCUGCUCUGUUUAAUCAGCACUCACUUUGGGUUGUGAACCUCUCCCUUGCUUGGGUUGGUGACAGGAGUGCUGGUGUUCAGCGUUUUGUCACAGCCGCCGGCUUCAAGUGCGCCCCAAAAGCAGGGAGAGGAAGAGGAGCGGAGUAGUGCCAAUACACAAUAUGUACUGAGCUAGUGUGGCAAAAGCAGUUGAAGGCUUCAGGCAGAGACCUGGGCGCGUGUGGAGGUGGCUUUGGCCAAGGAGCAGGAUGGGAUAAGUGCUCCUGACACCUUAUCAUCUCAAGCCGCUGGCUGCAGGACUGGCAUGUGAAGAAGCCCAGCACUCUCUUUGUUGCUUGUGUGAGUCUCCUUCAAAAUCAACACCGUUUUAAGAAAGCCCUCCCUAUCUGAGAUGGGGAGGGAAGAGGAAAGGCAGCUGGGGUCCUGGCUGGAUCCCCAAGGUGCAGGGGUGGCAGGAUCAGGUCAGCUGCUGGGCCCAGGGGUAGACAGGGAGGUAAUGCAGGUUUGCAACUCAGCAGCAGAGCACCACAGCACCCAAAGGCUUUCUCUGCGUUUUCAGGGAGGACUGCACGUUACACCACACAGCCUGGGGUUAAAAGAGCAUGGAGGAGAGCAGAUGUGUUCCCCUCCAGACCUCUCUGCUAAAGGAGACCUCGCAGAGCAGCUCCCACACGCCUUGUUUUUCUUACAACCUUGUUGUGUAGAGCCAAGGUGGUGCAAGAGAGGAGGCAGGAAUGAAAGGGUUGAGGUUUGCCUCCGGGCCUCUUUGCAAUCACCCAGCAAUUCUCUCCCCUCGCUGCCUAGCAUGUUUGAACCACAGGCCUGUCGAGUCUUCUCAAGACCUGUAGAAACACGGCACUGCAGCGCCUCAUGCUAAGUAGCAGGCUGAAAUAGCCACCUGGGGCCAUAGUCAGAAGCCCUAAGGAAGCAGGGAGCAGUUGGGCAGCAUGGGGGACCUGAAGCAAGGCUCAGCUCCUUGGAGCCCUCAGUGCCUUCACACCACCUCUCACACCCACUUCCCAGGUAUGCAGGGGGUUGUGCAUAUUUUAGGGAGUUUUGUGGGUGCUGGAGCUGGCUGGUGAGAGGGCAGAGCCUGCGGCUUAGAAGCUGGUUCACAGUGUUGCCUUGGUUUCCAUCAUGGCAUGAGCUAAAGUCUAGGGAAGGAAGCUGUCAGAAAGUGGUGUGGGGAACAAAUUUCCUUUCAGACUUGGGCAGCUGAGUUUAACCUGCCAACUCAGCUAGGGAAAAGCAGUCAAGUGAUACUGAGUGUGCCAUUUAUCGUAGGGUCUGGGGAUUUCUUUUUUCUUGUGUUAGAGGCUUUUUUUUGGGGGGGGAAGUAGCAACAAAGUGUGACAUUGCCAUUAGGUUGUUCUGUAUAUUUUUCAGGUAUUUUUUAAAAUAACAUAGUUAAGAUUAGCUAGAGGCAAAGAAAUGCCUGUAAGCUUCAAAGCAGCAGUUCAGACGGGACUUCAGCAGCAUGCAGCUGACCAGGAAAGUCACCUGCAGGAGACCUUUACAGAACAGUAAUCAUAAUUGUUGCCUUAGUGCUAAAUUAGCAGCCCUCAUUCACCCCUCCUGCCCUCAAGAAAGGCUGGUUCACAGGGACAAAUACCCACUCCACUGCUGGCAGAAUAUCAUGCAAUCCCUUUGUCAUUUUUGAGUUGGUUUUUUUUUUCCUCCAGUGCCUGUUGUGUUGCCUCCUAUGUUAUUGUGAAAGACUGCAUGGAAAAUAAGGACUCAUCACUGUGGCCUAAUGUUUAAUUAGACGCUAAUGUGCCAUUAUUAUUAGGCACUGAAUGAAUUUACUGGUGAAGCAGUGCUUGAGCUGUUUUAAAAUCAUUUUAUAAGCAUACUUUCCCCUUGCCUAGCUGGCAUGCAUCUCCCCUGUUAGGAGGCACAAGACAGCUUUACCUGGUCUUACAGGUCUUCUACAGUUCAGGCAAAUACCACUGGAAAGUAUCCCAAAUCUCAGUGUUUGGAAAACUUUGAAAUAGAAGGGUAUGUUGUGUGCUAGGCUAGGCCAAGUGUUUAAUCAGUGGCACAGGACUUGAGAGACUAAGUGGUCUGCGGUUGAAUUUGCUAUGAAGAGAGACUGAUUAAGUACAGCUUAAUGAAACCUGACAACGUUUUUGGUCUCAAAAGAUGUUGAAGGAAGCAGUAAGAAAAUUACAGUUUUGUUUAAUGAGAAGUUUCAUUGUCAGCACCUUUAGGAAGCUUGCCGUGACUGCCAUACACUGUGAAAACGUAUAUUGCUUUGUAACCUCCAUAUUUUGGCAUAAGCAUGGCUUUACCAUUUAUCUUUUAAUACAGUUUCAUUAGGCAGUCAGUGAACUGUCUGGAAAUUCAAGAAACUGAACUAGGGGAGUUCCACACAGCUGCAUAAGAGGUAUACCUACUUGGAGCCAGGAACAGCAUUAAACAGCAGCAGGACCCCUGCCCGUUCUGCAAGCACCCUUCCUCUUUGGGUUAUCACCUUCAGCCACUGCCAUCUCCAAUAACAGGGCUCUGAUUUUUUGUUUUUAAGAAAGUAUUGACUUUCAUAGAGCUAAAUUCCAACAGGGGCACUUUGACUCCGAAAAGCACACACUGAGGUAGCACUAGCAUUCAUAUCUCUGCCAUCAGGUCUGUGCAAAAAAGGUCUCGAGCAGGAGUAGCUUUCCUGCCAGAAGAAGUGGGAGCAAAGCUAGCGCUGCUGCUAGCGCUGUGGCAUGCAGAGUAGGAACACACCACCAAGGAGAGGUGAGGUACCUGCCCAGGCAGCAGCCCAGCAGUCAACAGGGAAAAGGCAAAAGCAUUUGACUUGGCUUCAGGAUGGGGAGAAAAACUAAACUCCCUGAACAGCUACAGCAUACGAGGAACACAUCCCCAGCUAGACAGCAACUUGUUACGCCCAUAAAGGCUGGGCUAUGUGGGGAUUUAU